rnacentral:tRNA from 1 species
AGAAGCUUAGGAUAACAACCAAACCAGAGGCCUUCAAAGCCCCAAAUAAGAGUCAUAAUCUCUUAGUUUCUG